rfam:Gossypium raimondii Chr10_contig_431, whole genome shotgun sequence.
CACGUCAGCGCGCUUUGCUGACGUGCCAAUAAGUCGCGUCCUCGAAGGGGCGAUUUGUUGCCACGCCAGCAAAGCGCGCUGACGUGG